rnacentral:rRNA from 1 species
UGGGGGAGUAUUGCACAAUGGGGGGAACCCUGAUGCAGCGACGCCGCGUGAGCGAUGAAGUAUUUCGGUAUGUAAAGCUCUGUCAGCAGGGAAGAAAAUGACGGUACCUGACCAAGAAGCCCCGGCUAACUACGUGCC